rnacentral:rRNA from 1 species
GACGAACGCUGGCGGCGUGCUUAACACAUGCAAGUCGAACGGAAAGGCCCUGCUUUUGUGGGGUGCUCGAGUGGCGAACGGGUGAGUAACACGUGAGUAACCUGCCCUUGACUUUGGGAUAACUUCAGGAAACUGGGGCUAAUACCGGAUAGGAGCUCCUGAUGCAUGGUGGGGGUUGGAAAGUUUCGGCGGUUGGGGAUGGACUCGCGGCUUAUCAGCUUGUUGGUGGGGUAGUGGCUUACCAAGGCUUUGACGGGUAGCCGGCCUGAGAGGGUGACCGGCCACAUUGGGACUGAGAUACGGCCCAGACUCCUACGGUAGGCAGAAGUGGGGAAUAUUGCACAAUGGGCGGAAGCCUGAUGCAGCAACGCCGCGUGCGGGAUGACGGCCUUCGGGUUGUAAACCGCUUUCGCCUGUGACGAAGCGUGAGUGACGGUAAUGGGUAAAGAAGCACCGGCUAACUACGUG